AGAGUUUGAUCCUGGCUCAGAUUGAACGCUGGCGGCAUGCCUUACACAUGCAAGUCGAACGGCAGCACGGGAGCUUGCUCUGGUGGCGAGUGGCGAACGGGUGAGUAAUAUAUCGGAACGUACCUUUCAGUGGGGGAUAACGUAGCGAAAGUUACGCUAAUACCGCAUAUUCUGUGAGCAGGAAAGCAGGGGAUCGCAAGACCUUGCGCUGAUUGAGCGGCCGAUAUCAGAUUAGCUAGUUGGUGAGGUAAAAGCUCACCAAGGCGACGAUCUGUAGCGGGUCUGAGAGGAUGAUCCGCCACACUGGAACUGAGACACGGUCCAGACUCCUACGGGAGGCAGCAGUGGGGAAUUUUGGACAAUGGGGGCAACCCUGAUCCAGCCAUGCCGCGUGAGUGAAGAAGGCCUUCGGGUUGUAAAGCUCUUUCAGCCGGGAAGAAAACGCAUGGGUUAAUACCCUGUGUGGAUGACGGUACCGGAAUAAGAAGCACCGGCUAACUACGUGCCAGCAGCCGCGGUAAUACGUAGGGUGCGAGCGUUAAUCGGAAUUACUGGGCGUAAAGCGUGCGCAGGCGGUUUUGUAAGACAGGCGUGAAAUCCCCGGGCUUAACCUGGGAACUGCGUUUGUGACUGCAAGGCUAGAGUACGGCAGAGGGGGGUGGAAUUCCACGUGUAGCAGUGAAAUGCGUAGAGAUGUGGAGGAACACCGAUGGCGAAGGCAGCCCCCUGGGUCAAUACUGACGCUCAUGCACGAAAGCGUGGGUAGCAAACAGGAUUAGAUACCCUGGUAGUCC
rnacentral:rRNA from 1 species